rnacentral:lncRNA from 1 species
AGUCAACAUGACUGAAAUGGUCAAUUAACCCCCUAAGGAGUUAUUGUCCUUUAUAGUCAAUUUUUAACAAUUUUUAUAAAAUUUGUAAAUUUUUACUAACAUUUACCACUGAAACUACUGGGCAAAGUUCAUUAUAGAUAGAGAUAACUGUAAGCAGCAAGAAUGGUCAGUAAAGUAAGACGUACAAACACAUCACCAUCACCAAAACACAAUUUUGUCAUGAAUCCAUCUGCUUUGUUUAAUAUUCACAUAGACCAAGGUGAGCGACA